rnacentral:ncRNA from 1 species
CGGGGGCUACUCCACAAAAUAGGCCCCGUGUGCAAAAAAAGGAGGAACUAUUAACCCCGUCUGACUCACGGUGCGGCAGUGUGGAGACCUGCUGUAAUGCAGUGCCGUCUUUUCAUGGGCGGCUGCGAGAGCGUAAGCGAGGAUUCCUUGCGCUUAGAGUCGUAAAGUAUGGCA